rnacentral:lncRNA from 1 species
AAUCCAUUUUCGACUAUGUGCCAUAAAUUCAAAUCCAAAGAAAGUAAGAAAACUCUCAUUCGAGUUUUCCAACAAGUGUAGUCCGUCCCAUUGAAAAAGGGAGGACGAAUGAGAGAGUAACCCUCUUGAAAGUCAUAAAGAGUCAUUUCUAUUUGGGUGUUAAACCAAAGUAGAAAACCACGGCUCUGAUACCAAUUGUUAGGAUCGGAGCGGCACUAAGAGGGGGGGGUGAAUUAGUGCAGCGG